rnacentral:rRNA from 1 species
AGAGUUUGAUCCUGGCUCAGGACGAACGCUGGCGGCGCGCCUAACACAUGCAAGUCGAACGAGAGAUGAGGAGCUUGCUCUUCAAAUCGAGUGGCGAACGGGUGAGUAACGCGUGAGGAACCUGCCUCAAAGAGGGGGACAACAGUUGGAAACGACUGCUAAUACCGCAUAAGCCCACGGCUCGGCAUCGAGCAGAGGGAAAAGGAGCAAUCCGCUUUGAGAUGGCCUCGCGUCCGAUUAGCUAGUUGGUGAGGUAACGGCCCACCAAGGCGACGAUCGGUAGCCGGACUGAGAGGUUGAACGGCCACAUUGGGACUGAGACACGGCCCAGACUCCUACGGGAGGCAGCAGUGGGGAAUAUUGCACAAUGGGGGAAACCCUGAUGCAGCGACGCCGCGUGGAGGAAGAAGGUCUUCGGAUUGUAAACUCCUGUUGUUGAGGAAGAUAAUGACGGUACUCAACAGGGAAGUGACGGCUAACUACGUGCCAGCAGCCGCGGUAAAACGUAGGUCACAAGCGUUGUCCGGAAUUACUGGGUGUAAAGGGAGCGCAGGCGGGAGAACAAGUUGGAAGUGAGAUCCAUGGGCUCAACCCAUGAACUGCUUUCAAAACUGUUUUUCUUGAGUAGUGCAGAGGUAGGCGGAAUUCCCGGUGUAGCGGUGGAAUGCGUAGAUAUCGGGAGGAACACCAGAGGCGAAGGCGGCCUACUGGGCACCAACUGACGCUGAGGCUCGAAAGUGUGGGUAGCAAACAGGAUUAGAUACCCUGGUAGUCCACACCGUAAACGAUGAUUACUAGGUGUUGGAGGAUUGACCCCUUCAGUGCCGCAGUUAACACAAUAAGUAAUCCACCUGGGGAGUGCGACCGCAAGGUUGAAACUCAAAGGAAUUGACGGGGGCCCGCACAAGCAGUGGAGUAUGUGGUUUAAUUCGACGCAACGCGAAGAACCUUACCAAGUCUUGACAUCCCUUGACGAACAUAGAAAUAUGUUUUCUCUUCGGAGCAAGGAGACAGGUGGUGCAUGGUUGUCGUCAGCUCGUGUCGUGAGAUGUUGGGUUAAGUCCCGCAACGAGCGCAACCCUUAUGGUCAGUUACUACGCAAGAGGACUCUGGCCAGACUGCCGUUGACAAAACGGAGGAAGGUGGGGAUGACGUCAAAUCAUCAUGCCCUUUAUGACUUGGGCUACACACGUACUACAAUGGCGUUAAACAAAGAGAAGCAAGACCGCGAGGUGGAGCAAAACUCAGAAACAACGUCCCAGUUCGGACUGCAGGCUGCAACUCGCCUGCACGAAGUCGGAAUUGCUAGUAAUCGUGGAUCAGCAUGCCACGGUGAAUACGUUCCCGGGCCUUGUACACACCGCCCGUCACACCAUGAGAGCCGGGGGGACCCG